CCUACGGGUGGCAGCAGUGAGGAAUAUUGGUCAAUGGACGAGAGUCUGAACCAGCCAAGUAGCGUGAAGGAUGACUGCCCUAUGGGUUGUAAACUUCUUUUAUAUGGGAAUAAAAUGUUCCACGUGUGGGAUUUUGUAUGUACCAUAUGAAUAAGGAUCGGCUAACUCCGUGCCAGCAGCCGCGGUAAGACGGAGGAUCCAAGCGUUAUCCGGAUUUAUUGGGUUUAAAGGGAGCGUAGGUGGAUUGUUAAGUCAGUUGUGAAAGUUUGCGGCUCAACCGUAAAAUUGCAGUUGAAACUGGCAGUCUUGAGUACAGUAGAGGUGGGCGGAAUUCGUGGUGUAGCGGUGAAAUGCUUAGAUAUCACGAAGAACUCCGAUUGCGAAGGCAGUUCACUGGACUGCAACUGACACUGAGGCUCGAAAGUGUGGGUAUCAAACAGGAUUAGAUACCCUGGUAGUC
rnacentral:rRNA from 1 species